GCAGGGCAUGGUGACACAUGCCUGUAAUCCCAGCACUUUGGAGGCUGAGACAGGAGGAUUGCGAGUUCAAAGCCAGCCUCAGCAAAAGUGAGGCACUAAGCAACUCAGUGAAACCCUGUCUUAA
rnacentral:sRNA from 1 species